UAGAUAGUUGGUUGCUCCUCCAUCAUACACAUGGUUGUAUGGUUGGCGAUUUCAAGACAUCCAUCCGAUGGGCCCUGCUGUGAAAUUCCACAACAACAAAUCCCUGCUAUCGAUUUGUGGCCUUCAAAUAGGCUGAGAGUACACAUACAUUUCUUUGAUGUUUUUUCCUUGUUCUAGUGGACUAAGAUCAGUCAGAGGUCAUCUGAUGGACGGUGUGCACCAGAGGAAGACAUGAACUGCAAGGCAAUGUCUUUAGCCACUUGAAGCAAGCCUUUCAAGUCAUUGGCCCCAAGUUCCAUGCAAUCUCGGAGCAAGCCUCCCUCUGCCUCCUUUUGCAAUAUCAACACCAACUCCCGCAAAGGCCCCUAUCGGGAGAACACGACGAGGAACCUUCUCAAGAGCGAUUUCGAAAUCCCCAAAACCCUCUGGUAAUUCCGCAGCACCCAACUCCCACGAUCCCUGUCUGAUUCCAUCCGAGUCAACUCGCUCAGAGCCCUCAAAAGCUCGUUCAUAUCCGAAACGGCAC